UACGUAGGGGGCGAGCGUUGUCCGGAAUCAUUGGGCGUAAAGAGCGUGUAGGCGGCUUGGCAAGUCUGACGUGAAAGCCCGCGGCUCAACCGCGGAUUGUCGUUGGAAACUGCCUCGCUAGAGUCCGGAAGAGGAGAGCGGAAUUCCUGGUGUAGCGGUGGAAUGCGCAGAUAUCAGGAAGAACACCCGUGGCGAAGGCGGCUCUCUAGUACGGUACUGACGCUGAGACGCGAAAGCGUGGGGAGCGAACAGG
rnacentral:rRNA from 1 species